GAUGAACGCUAGCUACAGGCUUAACACAUGCAAGUCGAGGGGAAACGACAUUGAAGCUUGCUUCGAUGGUCGUCGACCGGCGCACGGGUGAGUAACGCGUAUCCAACCUGCCUCUGACCAAGGGAUAACCCGUCGAAAGUCGGCCUAAUACCUUAUGCAGUCGUCGGAAGUCAUCUGAUGACGACGAAAGAUUUCAUCGGUGAGAGAUGGGGAUGCGUCUGAUUAGCUUGUUGGCGGGGUAACGGCCCACCAAGGCAACGAUCAGUAGGGGUUCUGAGAGGAAGGUCCCCCACAUUGGAACUGAGACACGGUCCAAACUCCUACGGGAGGGAGCAGUGAGGAAUAUUGGUCAAUGGGCGAGAGCCUGAACCAGCCAAGUAGCGUGCAGGAUGACGGCCCUAUGGGUUGUAAACUGCUUUUAUGCGGGGAUAAAGUGAGGGACGUGUCCUUCAUUGCAGGUACCGCAUGAAUAAGGACCGGCUAAUUCCGUG
rnacentral:rRNA from 1 species